rnacentral:rRNA from 1 species
CCUAGUAACGGCGAGUGAAGCGGCAACAGCUCAAAUUUGAAAUCUGGCUCUCGGGCCCGAGUUGUAAUUUGUAGAGGAUACUUUUGAUGCGGUGCCUUCCGAGUUCCCUGGAACGGGACGCCAUAGAGGGUGAGAGCCCCGUCUGGUUGGAUGCCAAAUCUCUGUAAAGUUCCUUCAACGAGUCGAGUAGUUUGGGAAUGCUGCUCUAAAUGGGAGGUAUAUGUCUUCUAAAGCUAAAUACCGGCCAGAGACCGAUAGCGCACAAGUAGAGUGAUCGAAAGAUGAAAAGCACUUUGAAAAGAGAGUUAAAAAGUACGUGAAAUUGUUGAAAGGGAAGCGUUUAUGACCAGACUUGGGCUUGGUUAAUCAUCUGGGGUUCUCCCCAGUGCACUUUUCCAGUCCAGGCCAGCAUCAGUUUUCCCCGGGGGAUAAAGGCGGCGGGAAUGUGGCUCUCUUCGGGGAGUGUUAUAGCCCACCGUGUAAUACCCUGGGGGGGACUGAGGUUCGCGCAUCUGCAAGGAUGCUGGCGUAAUGGUCAUCAACGACCCGUCUUGAAACACGGACCAAGGAGUCGUCUUCGUAUGCGAGUGUUCGGGUGUCAAACCCCUACACGUAAUGAAAGUGAACGCAGGUGAGAGCUUCGGCGCAUCAUCGACCGAUCCUGAUGUUCUCGGAUGGAUUUGAGUAAGAGCAUACGGGGCCGGACCCGAAAGA